rnacentral:rRNA from 1 species
UACAGAGGGGGCAAGCGUUGUUCGGAAUUACUGGGCGUAAAGGGCGCGUAGGCGGCUUUCUAAGUCGAACGUGAAAUCCCCGGGCUCAACCCGGGAACUGCGUCCGAUACUGGAAGGCUUGAAUCCGGGAGAGGGAUGCGGAAUUCCAGGUGUAGCGGUGAAAUGCGUAGAUAUCUGGAGGAACACCGGUGGCGAAGGCGGCAUCCUGGACCGGCAUUGACGCUGAGGCGCGAAAGCCAGGGGAGCAAACGGG